rnacentral:rRNA from 1 species
UACGUAGGGUGCAAGCGUUAAUCGGAAUUACUGGGCGUAAAGCGUGCGCAGGCGGUUUUGUAAGUCAGAUGUGAAAUCCCCGGGCUUAACCUGGGAACUGCGUUUGAAACUACAAGGCUAGAGUGUGGCAGAGGGGGGUGGAAUUCCACGUGUAGCAGUGAAAUGCGUAGAGAUGUGGAGGAACACCGAUGGCGAAGGCAGCCCCCUGGGUCGACACUGACGCUCAUGCACGAAAGCGUGGGGAGCAAACAGG